UACGUAGGGUGCAAGCGUUACUCGGAAUUACUGGGCGUAAAGCGUGCGCAGGCGGUUCGCUAAGACAGAUGUGAAAUCCCCGGGCUUAAACUGGGAACUGCAUUUGUGACUGGCGGGCUAGAGUAUGGCAGAGGGGGGUAGAAUUCCACGUGUAGCAGUGAAAUGCGUAGAGAUGUGGAGGAAUACCGAUGGCGAAGGCAGCCCCCUGGGCCAAUACUGACGCUCAUGCACGAAAGCGUGGGGAGCAAACAGG
rnacentral:rRNA from 1 species